UAGCCGUAAACGAUACUCGCUAGGUGUCGGCCACGGUGCGACCGUUGUCGGUGCCGUAGGGAAGCCGUGAAGCGAGCCACCUGGGAAGUACGGCCGCAAGGCUGAAGCUUAAAGAAAUUGGCGGGGGAGCACAACAACGGGUGGAGCUUGCGGUUUAAUUGGAUUCAACGCCGGAAAUCUUACCGGGACCGACAGCAACAUGAAGGCCAAGCUGAAGACUUUGCCGGAUUAGCUGAGAGGAGGUGCAUGGCGUAGUCGUGU
rnacentral:rRNA from 1 species